CUGGAAGCGUCUGUAAGGUUACAACACAAGACACUGAUAACUUUGAUGAAGAGGUCAAGCCAUUGGCAUUUGCCCGGCACCUU
rnacentral:rRNA from 3 species